UCUCCCCCAAAUAACCGUCCGAUCAGCAAGCAGACAGCGGCGAGGAUAUCUCUUCAAUAAAAGAGACGAAGAGGAGUUACUUCGUGUCAUAUCAGGACGUUACUAUGAUGAGGGAACUGAUAUUAAUUGUUGUGAGGAUUUGGAGUUUGCGAAUAGGAACAGGGCGAACAUUCUACAACUCCAAGACGUUGAGGCAUUUGAAUACCGCCAGGACAACAGUAAAUGCACCCUUGAGGUUUUGCAAAGUUCCGGCUUCACCGGAGGAGAUGACGACUUCUUCGAUUUGUUACCGCAAUAUGAGUGCAAUGCAACCGAAGAGACAGGCAGUACUUGGUCACUAUGUGAUAUCAACAUUAAACAGCAUGUACAGGCACAAAGUUUGGAUAUGAGUAAUCGCAACGAACUCACUAACUUAUCUGAGGACCAAUGGACAUUGCAGCCACAGAUAAGUAUCGAAUCAAAGAGCAGACUGCGACGAGGCUAUGUCUUCAAUGAAAAAGACAUUCCGCAGUGCCAUGCCAGAACAUAACUAUGAUGCAAAAGAAACGGAUAUUGAUUGCUGUCGGGAUUCGGAGCCACAUCAUCCAGGAAUGGUACCGUAUGCCGCAAUGUCGUUAUAUAGCGGAACAAACAGUGAACCAACUAGUUAUUAUACGCCGGUGUUAGCGUCACGAAGCUUAGCAAAUGCUAACACAAAGCGAGAGGAAGCGAACAAGAAUUUGGUAAGUCAAAAACAUGCGACUAUUCGAACAAUGGCA